GGAAGUUUGACUGAGUGGUUUAAGGUGUAAUAUUUGAGCUAUUAUAAAUCAUAAGAUUUCAUAGGUUCGAAUCCUAUAACUUUCG